AGCAGCGCCCUGCUCCUGCAGUCUGAUAACAUUUUUGCUCACGUUUAUGUUGAAACUGAGUUUGAGGGAAUAAUUUCCACACUCUCAACAUCUGUCUGAACAUCAGUGUGUGUGUCAGCAGUGACUAGAAGCUGCUACAGCAAACCAUGCUGCUGUCUCCAACUCCACUAACUCUGAGAAUAUGCUAUGCUUAACGGUGACCAUUCUACGAGGAAAGGACGGCUUUGGCUUCACCAUCUGCUCUGACUCGCCUGUUCGUAUACAAGCAGUCGA